ACGCCAGCCGCAGCAUCCCAUCUGGUCCUACUCCCCAAGAGGCCAAUCCCCAGGGAGCUCAUGUUGCGGGGCUCUGAGCAAGCCUGACCGCUGGCGCUUAUUUGAAAUCAGACCCCGGCCCCGCUUUGCGGUGCCGGGGCUUUUUUU
rnacentral:sRNA from 1 species